CACUCAGUGCAGUGUGCACUGUGUAUUACAGAGGAAGAAAGCUGAGGGAAGGAGGCUGAACAAGGAAGGUGUGAGAAUCUAGACAUCAUUUUAAAAAGGUUUCCAGAUGUAUAAAAAGCAAGAAGAAGUAAGAUGAACAACAUGUAUGAACUUUGACAUUAUAAAGCAGAGUCUGGGAGGCACAAAUGGCUGUGAAAAUCCCAGGGGCCACGUUCUGCAUUGAUGAUUGGCAGAGACAAGGAGCUACAAGCUACAUUCACUCAGAAAAGUGAUCCUUGCAGGAUUCCAGAUUUAAUUGUGUCAGCACAGAAGAGCAGUGGCUCCAAUGAACAUUGCUGUUACUGACAGUCUGCUCGAAAGACAUACAAACUAAAUCACAUCAACUGAAACCUGAUGUAUAGGCCUCGUAAGAAGAAAAGACACUUUCUACUUAUCUGAAAGGUGGGAAACACAAAUAUGGACACAUCAAGGAAAUGCAAUGUUGAGAAUU